GACGAACGCUGGCGGCGUGCCUAAUACAUGCAAGUAGAACGCUGAAGGAGGAGCUUACUUCUCUGGAUGAGUUGCGAACGGGUGAGUAACGCGUAGGUAACCUGCCUGGUAGCGGGGGAUAACUAUUGGAAACGAUAGCUAAUACCGCAUAAGAGUAGAUGUUGCAUGACAUGUACUUAAAAGGUGCAAUUGCACCACUACCAGAUGGACCUGCGUUGUAUUAGCUAGUUGGUGGGGUAACGGCUUACCAAGGCGACGAUACAUAGCCGACCUGAGAGGGUGAUCGGCCACACUGGGACUGAGACACGGCCCAGACUCCUACGGGAGGCAGCAGUAGGGAAUCUUCGGCAAUGGACGGAAGUCUGACCGAGCAACGCCGCGUGAGUGAGGAAGGUUUUCGGAUCGUAAAGCUCUGUUGUAAGAGAAGAACGAGUGUGAGAGUGGAAAGUUCACACUGUGACGGUAUCUUACCAGAAAGGGACGGCUAACUACGUGCCAGCCGCCGCGGUA
rnacentral:rRNA from 1 species